GUAAUGGUGGUUUGCUGGUAGAAUUCUUGCUUUUCAUGCAGGAGACCGGGGUUCAAUUCCUGGCCAGUGCA
rnacentral:tRNA from 1 species